GGAGUUUGUGUGGGGAAAAGGAUGGCUCUGGUCAUGAGGAAACAGCAUCAGGCAACACCUGAGAAGACUUCACAGGUGAGGAAGACAGCAGGUGAAUAGUAAGAUACAAAAACUGGAGCAAAAAUGGGUGUUAUUAAAGUGAAUCAAAGUACAACUGGAUUGGCAAGUACACAGAGGUACUGCACUUCAUCAGAUCCAUCAGAUGCAUCAUCUCCAACCUGGCAACAUGUGGCCACCAUGAGUGACUGAGACUGAAGUGAAAAGCAGGCUCCAAUUCAGGACAUUCUUCCAAGAGAAGCC